GUAGUGUUAGCAAAUUUUAUGCAGCUGACUUAGGAUCAGCAGAAAGAGGUUUUAUUCCUCUACACCAC
rnacentral:tRNA from 1 species